AACCACACAAUUUCAUUAAAACCAAUCUAACGGUGGGGAGCAUGUCCCCAUUUUUUUGAAAAAAUGGGGAUCCCUCCCCUUAAGCAAUCUGUAUAUAUAUAUAUUAUGUAUAUUAUAUGUAUGUAGUAGAUAUUAUUGCUGACCUUCGGUAGAAGCAGAGUUCAGUGUGAUAAACUGAGGUAUAUUUGACCUUUAUCCUCAUUUCCAUGGCCUUAGGUAGGGGUGGGUUCAAAAAACCGAAAACCGAAAAAAACCGAAAACCAAACCGAACCGAAACCGAAAAAACCGAACCGAACAAAAACCGAACCGAAUUGAAAAAACCGAACCGAACCGAAUUCUUUUGGUUCGGUUCGGUUUUAGUGAUCUAGAAACCGAACCGAACCGAACCGAACCGAAUUAAUUAAAUUAAUUUUUUUAUUUAAUUAUUUGUUUUGGAUAUUAUUUUCUAAACCCAAUUUGUAAGUUAAAAUGUGCUAAACCCAAUGUGUUGCCAAACUUUAAGCUCAAAAUAUUAAAAAAAAGUCCUAUAAAAACUCUAAACCCUAACCUAUUAUUUAUCCCCCAUAUAAGGUUCCGGAACCAAACCUCAUCCUGAAGUACCUACAUCCAUCUCCAUAGCACUGUCUACUUCUGUCUCAGCUUUCUUUUCCAAAUCUACUCUCAUAUAACAUGUAACAGAAUCCAUAAACAUUUAUUUCGGGUAGAUUACUUAGGGAAUUUGUGAUGGAAAAGAAUCCAACACACACUAAAUAAAUCCACCCACGCAUUUCUUUUACUAAUCAAGUUGUUUAUUUUCAUUGUCUUUGAUUAUAGUUAGAAUGCUUAUGUUAUGAUUGUGUUGGAUACGUUAAAAUUUAAAAUUUCAAUGUUUUUCAUUUUUUGAAAGAAAAAAAAAACAAAAAACCGAAACCGAACCGAAAAAAACCGAACCGAAAAAAAACCGAACCGAAAAAAACCGAAAAAAAAAAGAACCGAACCGAACCGAACCGAAAUUUCGGUUUGGUUUCGGUUUUGGCAAAAACCGAACCGAAUUAAACCGAACCCACCCCUAGCCUUAGGUGGAGCAACCUUCACCUGCUCCAUCACCAACAGCUUCCCUGCGUCCCAUGCAAUUGCUGUUGUAAAAUCUACAGCACAGAAAUCCCAAAUUGAGGAGUAUUAAAUCUCUAUAAAGACAUACGAAAUGAAGAACAAUGGACCUAGCGGGCAAAGAAGCUGAUUGGUGUUCAUAAAAAAGAUAUUGUAGUUUUAAUUACCUUAUAUCAUGAAUAAAAUAAGGAUAGAUUGUGUUUACCCAUUUUUUUGUGCAGG
rnacentral:lncRNA from 1 species